rnacentral:rRNA from 1 species
AUUGAACGCUGGCGGCAUGCCUUACACAUGCAAGUCGAACGGUAACAGGUUUUCGGAUGCUGACGAGUGGCGCACGGGUGAGUAAUACAUCGGAACGUGCCUAGUAGUGGGGGAUAACUACUCUAAAGCGUGGCUAAUACCGCAUUAGAUCUCCGGAAGACAGCAGGGGAUCGCAAGACCUUGUGCUACUAGAGCGGCCGAUGGCAGAUUAGGUCGUGGUUGGGAUAAAAGCUUAACAAGCCGACGGUCUGUAGCUGGUCUGAGAGGACGAUCAGCCACACUGGGACUGAGACACGGCCCAGACUCCUACGGGAGGCAGCAGUGGGGAAUUUUGAACAAUGGGCGAAAGCCUGAUCCAGCAAUGCCGCGUGCAUGAUGAAGGCCUUCGGGUUGUAAACUGCUUUUGUACGGAACGAAAAGCCCUGGGUUAAUACCCUGGGGUCAUGACGUUACCGUAAGAAUAAGCACCGACUAACUACGUGCCAGCAGCCGCCGUAA